UCGGGAAUCUUCCGCAAUGGGGGCAACCCUGACGGAGCGACGCCGCGUGCGGGAUGAAGGCCUUCGGGUUGUAAACCGCUGUCACAGGUUAAGAAGGGUCUGGCGUUAACAGCGCUAGAUCUUGACGAAGGCCUGAGAGGAAGCCACGGCUAACUUCGUGCCAGCAGCCGCGGUAAGACGAAGGUGGCGACCGUUGUUCGGAAUCACUGGGCAUAAAGAGCACGUAGGCGGCAAGGUAAGUCGGGUGUGAAAUCCCUCGGCCUAACCGAGGAAUUGCGCCCGAAACUACCGUGCUUGAGGAUGGAAGGGAGCGUGGAAUUCCUGGUGGAGCGGUGAAAUGCGUUGAUAUCAGGAGGAACACCGGCGGCGAAGGCGACGCUCUGGUCCAUUUCUGACGCUGAGGUGCGAAAGCCAGGGGAGCAAACGGGAUUAGAUACCCCCGUAGUCCCUGAGCGGGCUGGCAAGGCGCAU
rnacentral:rRNA from 1 species